rnacentral:rRNA from 1 species
ACGUACGCUGGCGGCGUGCUUAACACAUGCAAGUCGAACGGAAAGGCCCUGCUUUUGUGGGGUGCUCGAGUGGCGAACGGGUGAGUAACACGUGAGUAACCUGCCCUUGACUUUGGGAUAACUUCAGGAAACUGGGGCUAAUACCGGAUAGGAGCUCCUGCUGCAUGGUGGGGGUUGGAAAGUUUCGGCGGUUGGGGAUGGACUCGCGGCUUAUCAGCUUGUUGGUGGGGUAGUGGCUUACCAAGGCUUUGACGGGUAGCCGGCCUGAGAGGGUGACCGGCCACAUUGGGACUGAGAUACGGCCCAGACUCCUACGGGAGGCAGCAGUGGGGAAUAUUGCACAAUGGGCGGAAGCCUGAUGCAGCAACGCCGCGUGCGGGAUGACGGCCUUCGGGUUGUAAACCGCUUUCGCCUGUGACGAAGCGUGAGUGACGGUAAUGGGUAAAGAAGCACCGGCUAACUACGUG